UUAACCCUUCUGUUAACCCUUCUGCCUCCUGGGUGGUCCGUUUUGUCAAUGUUUCAAGGCAGCGUAUUUCGAUUCUCUCCCUGCCCUGUGACCUUUAUUAACACAGGGAUUGAGCUGUAGUUGUGCUGUGAAUCCACCCCUCUCCCUGAGCUCCAGGCCCUUCCUGAAACCUGACCACAUUCCUCCCUCCAGAUUCCAUGGGACAUUGCUGUAUCUAUCCUUAAUAACUGCCUCCCUUUCUCCUGGUCCUCAAGGUGAUGUAUACUAUGUGGAGCCAAAGAUUCCUAAUGCUUGAGGCAAUGGAGCCCU
rnacentral:lncRNA from 1 species